UACGUAGGGGGCAAGCGUUGUCCGGAUUUAUUGGGCGUAAAGAGCUCGUAGGUGGUUCGGUAAGUCGGAUGUGAAAUCUCCAGGCUCAACCUGGAGGGGUCAUUCGAUACUGCCGUGACUAGAGGUCGGUAGGGGAGUGUGGAAUUCCUGGUGGAGCGGUGAAAUGCGCAGAUAUCAGGAGGAACACCGAUGGCGAAGGCAGGUCUCUGGGCCGCAACUGACGCUGAGGAGCGAAAGCAUGGGGAGCGAACAGG
rnacentral:rRNA from 1 species